GCCCGCCACCAGGACCACACCAUAAACUCCUUUUUGUUAAUGCAGUCAGCGUCAGUACAACAAAUGUAAAUCAUUUACAACUUUCAACAACGGAUCUCUUGGUUCUGGCAUCGAUGAAGAACGCAGCGAAAUGCGAUACGUAGUGUGAAUUGCAGAAUUCAGUGAAUCAUCGAAUCUUUGAACGCACAUUGCGCCCUUUGGUAUUCCAAAGGGCAUGCCUGUUCGAGCGUCAUUUGUACCCUCAAGCUUUGCUUGGUGUUGGGCGUUUUGUCUUUGCUCGCCAAAGACUCGCCUUAAAACGAUUGGCAGCCGACCUCUUGGUUUCGCAGCGCAGCACAAUUUUGCGCUUGCAAAUCAGCAAGUUGGCACUCCAUCAAGAACAUUUUUUUACGUUUGACCUCGGAUCAGGUAGGGAUACCCGCUGAACUUAAGCAUAUCAAUAA
rnacentral:sRNA from 1 species